UUUGGGAGAAGCUUAGUUGUUCUUAUGACUUUAUUCACUGCACCGCCACAUACGGCAUGGAUGCCGGAUGAGUUGCAAACAGCCAUGGAUGGCUGAUUCUGCAACGGUGGCGAAAGUAGAAAUAACUUUUCAAGGUCAUUAGAACAACUUGCUUCGUACACC
rfam:Firmicutes bacterium CAG:882 genomic scaffold, scf560